rnacentral:rRNA from 1 species
UACGUAGGGGGCAAGCGUUGUCCGGAAUCAUUGGGCGUAAGAAGCGUGUAGGCGGCCCGGUAAGUCCGCUGUGAAAGUCCAGGGCUCAACCCUGGGAUGCCGGUGGAUACUGUCGGGCUCGAGUCCGGAAGAGGAGUGUGGAAUUCCGUGGUGUAGCGGUGAAAUGCGCAGAUAUCAGGAGGAACACCAAUGGCGAAGGCAGCACUCUGGGACGUGACUGACGCUGAGACGCGAAAGCGUGGGGAGCAAACAGG